CCUACGGGAGGCAGCAGUAGGGAAUAUUGCUCAAUGGGGGAAACCCUGAAGCAGCAACGCCGCGUGGAGGAUGAAGGUUUUCGGAUUGGAAACUCCUUUUGUUAGAGAAGAGAAUGACGGUAUGUAACGAAUAAGCACCGGCUAACUCCGUGACAGCAGCCGCGGUAAUACGGAGGGUGCAAGCGUUAAUCGGAAUGAUUGGGCGUAAAGAGCGCGUAGGCGGGUUAGCAAGUCAGAUGUGAAAUCCUAUGGCUUAACCAUCGAACUGCAUUUGAAACUGUUAGUCUAGAGUAUGGGAGAGGUAGGUGGAAUUCUUGGUGGAGGGGUGAAAUCCGUAGAGAUCAAGAGGAAUACUCAUUGCGAAGGCAACCUGCUAGAACAUAACUGACGCUGAUGCGCGAAAGCGUGGGGAGCAAACAGGAUUAGAUACCCGAGUAGUC
rnacentral:rRNA from 1 species